GCGCUUCUAGGCUGUGUGAUGAUCCACGUCAAUUAAUGAAUCUUCAUCCAAUGGCUCACGCUUUUUCCUUAUUUCUAUUUUCUGAUUUUAUUUUCAUUUUAUUAUUUUAAUUCCAUUUCAUUUUAAAAAUUCAUAUCUCUCUCAUUAUUGGUCCAAAAAUUAUGGGACCAAUUUCAUUCUUCUCCUUUUAAUUUCUACUUUCUAAAAAUGAUUUUUAAUAUUUUU
rnacentral:lncRNA from 1 species